CCUGCCUCCGCACUCGAGACGGCAGCUUUCUCUCCCUCCGCCCACCGUUCCGCCGCUAGGUGGCAGGCGGCUCAACGACGCCCUUUUAAACCGUUUGCCCCGGAGUGGACCGCCGGGAUCGCGUGUCACCACCCAACCCUAGCGAUGAUUGGCUAUUUCGCCGAGGCCGGAGGAGGAACCAGCGGCAGAACCGGAAGCGUCUGGUACGGCGAGUGCACGGAGUCCUGAGACUGCGUGCGCACCCAGGCACCGCGCCGACUUAAAGAGGCCAGUUGCAGCCCCUCCUCCGGCCUUAGGGGGCAGACCGUGUUCCUACGUGGAGGGCGGAACCCUCACACUGAGGAGGGCUGGGUCACACUGAGGGGAGGAGUCACCUUGAGAGGAGGGGUCACAAUGACUAGUGGAUUUCCUCGGAGGUGGGGUCUCACUGCGUGGGAGGAACACAGAGCAAGGGGGUGCAGCACUGAGGGGUUCUGACACACUGACGGUGGCAGUGCCACACUGGGGAAAAGUGCCCCCGAAAGGGAGGUGUCUCACUGAGGAAGGGAGGGGUCUCCGAGGGACAGCGUUCUUUGAGGGGGGUGGGAUCUUGCGGAAGGACGGGCUUCCCUGCAGGUGGAGGCUUCUCUCUUAGAGUCUUUUGGGCAAAGUAGUAAGAGGGAGGUCCCGGCUGGGUGGUCACAGGGCGGAGGACCUGGACUCUCUUCUUUAUUGGGAGGCGGCAGGAUGAAGUGAGGAGGAGUCGGGGCUAAGCUGGGUAUGGGCCGGCCAAAGGCUUCCUAUAGCCCCGGGGUAUCACAACCUCCCGUGAAGGUAGAAGGUGUUAGGGAGGCCAGAGGUUCAAGGUGUCGGAGUCGAAGAGACCUGGGAAAUGGGCAGGCUGGGCCGGGGCGCAGGCCAGGAAGGUGGACAGGUUGCUAGGCUACCUCUGAUUGCGGCUGGGCCUGAGGGGCCUACCUUUCUGCCCCGUUGGUCCCUGGAGCCCAGGAAUCCGGCAGGUUUCUGAGCCCGACCCUCAACGGACAGUAACCCAGGGAGGAGAGGGGACUCCCUGGGCAGCUAAGCUUCGCAUGCGCACCAUCAGCCCUUAAUUCCCUCCCGUUAUUCAAGCUCAGGCCGGAGCUUAUUUGACCCGGGCGGCCCAGGGCAUCGCGGCCGGAAAGCGGGGAGGCGGGGGUGCGCACCUGAGGGGGCGUGGCCGCUGCCGGGAGGCCGGGCUGGAAGGAGUUAAGCGGAGGCCCGGCCCAGCCCCGCCCC
rnacentral:lncRNA from 1 species